rnacentral:rRNA from 1 species
GACGAACGCUGGCGGCGUGCUUAACACAUGCAAGUCGAACGCGCCUGUCCUCUGGGUUUCUGGGGGGUGGGUGAGUGGCGAACGGGUGAGUAACACGUGAGUAACCUGCCCCCUUCUUCGGGAUAACGGUCUGAAAGGGCUGCUAAUACCGGGUAUUCACUGGUCUCCGCAUGGGGUCUGGUGGAAAGGUUUUUUUCUGGUGGGGGAUGGGCUCGCGGCCUAUCAGCUUGUUGGUGGGGUGAUGGCCCACCAAGGCUUUGACGGGUAGCCGGCCUGAGAGGGUGACCGGUCACAUUGGGACUGAGAUACGGCCCAGACUCCUACGGGAGGCAGCAGUGGGGAAUAUUGCACAAUGGGCGCAAGCCUGAUGCAGCGACGCCGCGUGAGGGAUGGAGGCCUUCGGGUUGUAAACCUCUUUCGCCCGUGGUCAAGCCGCGACGUGGGUCGUGGUGAGGGUAGUGGGUAAAGAAGCGCCGGCUAACUACGUG